rnacentral:rRNA from 1 species
GGUUCGAUCAUGGCUCAGAUUGAACGCUGGCGGGAUGCUUGCCACGUGUUGAACGGCAGCACGGAUUUCGGCCUGGCGAGAGUGGCGAACGGGUGAGUAAUGUAUCGGAACGUGCCUAGUAGCGGGGAUAAUCACGCGAAAGGUAGCUGACACGCAUAUUUGUUCUUCUGGGGGAAAGCGGGGGACCUUCGGCCUCGCACUGGCUAGAGCGGCCGAUAUCGGAUUAGCUAGUUGGUGGGGUAACGGCUCACCAAGGCGACGAUCCGUAGCUGGUCGAGAGACACCAGCCACACUGGGACUGAGACACGGCCCAGACUCCUUGGCUGAGGCAGCAGUGGGAAUUUUGACAAUGGGGAAACCCUGGAUCCAGCCAUCCUCGCGUGUGCGAUGAAGGCCUUCGGGUUGUAAAGCACUUUGGCAGGGAAAGAAACGGCACGGGAUAAUACCCCGUGCAACUGACGGUACCUGCAGAAUAAGCACCGGCUAACUACGUGCCAGCAGCCGCGGUAAUACGUAGGGUGCAAGCGUUAAUCGGAAUUACUGGGCGUAAAGCGUGCGCAGGCGGUUCGGAAAGAAAGAGAUGUGAAAUCCCAGAGCUUAACUUUGGAACUGCAUUUUUAACUACCGAGCCAGAGUGUGUCAGAGGGAGGUGGAAUCGGUGUGUAGCAGUGGAAUGGUGAUAUGCGGAGGAACAACGAUGGCGAAGGCAGCCUCCUGGGAUAACACUGACGCUCAUGCACGAAAGCGUGGGGAGCAAAACAGGAUUAGAUACCCUGGUAGUCCACGCCUCAACGAUGUCAACGCGUCGUUGGGGCUCCUCGGCCUUGGUAGCGCAGCUAACGCGGUGAAGUUGACUCGCCUGGGGAGUACGGUCGCAAGAUUAAACUCAAAGGAAUUGAUUUGGACCCGCAAGCGGUGGAUGAUGUGGAUUAAUUCGAUGCAACGAAAACUGACGCCGCCCCUAACAUGUCUGAAUCCCGAAGAGAUUUGGGAGUGCUCGUAAGAGAACCGGAACACAGGUGCUGCAUGGCUAUGUCGUCAGCUCGUGUCGUGAGAUGUUGGUUGUCCCGCAACGAGCAACCCGGUCGGCCAGCUGCCACAAGCGCACCUGAGACUGGCAGACAAACCGGAGGAAGGUGGAUGACGUCAAGUCCUCAUGGCCCUUAUGGGUAGGGCUUCACACGUCAUACAAUGGUCGGGACAGAGGGUCGCCAACCCGCGAGGGGGGACGGCAAUCCUGAAAACCCAUCGUAGUCCGGAUCGCAGUCCGCAACUCGACUGCGUGAAGUCGGAAUCAAAGGUAAUCGCGGAUCAGCAUGUCGCGGUGAAUACGUUCCCGGGUCUGUACACACCGCCGUCACACCAUGGGAGUGGUUUACCAGAAGUAGUUAGCCCAACCGUAAGGAGGGCGAUUACCACGGUAGGAUUCAUGACCGGGGUGAAGUCGUAACAAGGUAG